rnacentral:tRNA from 1 species
UGGAUUACGCCAAGGUUGGCAACAGAUAAAUCGUAUCUGUCUUGCUGGUUCGAUUCCAGCUAAUCCAACCA